rnacentral:rRNA from 1 species
AAAGCUGUCUCACACAUAAUUAAUAGAAAUUAAUUUAAAGGUGCAAAAGCCUUUAUAAAUCAAAAAGACGAGAAGACCCUGUUGAGCUUUAAUUUAAACCAAGUAUAAACCAUAUAUUAAUAUAAUUUAUCUACUUGAUAAAAAUUUUAAUUGGGGCGAUUAAGGAACACUCAAAAGCUUCCUGACUGUUACAAAAAUAUUCUAUAGAUUAAAUCGAUCCAGCAAUGCUGAUCAACAAAAUGAGUUACCACAGGGAUAACAGCAUAAUUCUUUUUGAGAGCUCAUAUCGAAAAAAGAGAUUGUGACCUCGAUGUU